rnacentral:rRNA from 1 species
GAUGAACGCUAGCGGCAGGCUUAAUACAUGCAAGUCGAGGGGCAGCACGGUUAGCAAUAACUGGUGGCGACCGGCGCACGGGUGCGUAACACGUAUACAAUCUACCUUAAACAGGGGGAUAGCCUUUCGAAAGAGAGAUUAAUACCCCGUAAUAAAUUGAACGGCAUCGUUUGAUUUUGAAAGCUCCGGCGGUUUGAGAUGAGUAUGCGUCUGAUUAGCUAGUUGGUGAGGUAACGGCUCACCAAGGCGACGAUCAGUAGGGGAUCUGAGAGGACUAACCCCCACACUGGUACUGAGACACGGACCAGACUCCUACGGGAGGCAGCAGUAAGGAAUAUUGGUCAAUGGAGGCAACUCUGAACCAGCCAUGCCGCGUGCAGGAUGACGGCCCUAUGGGCUGUAAACUGCUUUUAUACAAGAGAAAACCCUGGUACGUGUACCAGGUUGAUAGUAUUGUAAGAAUAAGCAUCGGCUAACUUCGUGCCAGCAGCCGCGGUAAU